GGCUCAGGAUGAACGCUGGCGGCGUGCUUAAUACAUGCAAGUCGAACGGAGUGUUUUGUAGUAAUACGAAACUCUCAGUGGCGAACGGGCGAGUAACGAGUUGGUGACCUGCCCCGAAGUGUGGGAUAACAGUCCGAAAGGAUUGCUAAUACCGCAUGUGAUCGUUGGUUUUAGAAUCUGACGAUUAAAGCAGUAAUGCGCUUCGGGAGGGACCUGCUUCCCAUCAGCUAGUUGGUGAGGUAACGGCCCACCAAGGCUACGACGGGUAAGGGACCUGAGAGGGUGGUCCCUCGCAAUGGCACUGAAACACGGGCCAUACACCUACGGGUGGCAGCAGUAGGGAAUAUUGGGCAAUGGGCGAAAGCCUGACCCAGCAACGCCGCGUGCACGAUGAAGGCCUUCGGGUCGUAAAGUGCUUUUCUGAGGGAUGAGUAAGGACAGUACCUCAGGAAUAAGCCUCGGCUAACUACGUGCCAGCAGCCGCGGUAAAACGUAGGAGGCGAGCGUUAUCCGGAUUUACUGGGCGUAAAGCGUGUGUAGGCGGUUCGGCAAGUUGGAUGUGAAAGCUCCUGGCUUAACUAGGAGAGGUCGUUCAAUACUACCAAACUUGAGGGCAUCAGAGGAAGGUGGAAUUCCCGGUGUAGUGGUGAAAUGCGUAGAUAUCGGGAGGAACACCAGUGGCGAAAGCGGCCUUCUGGGAUGCUCCUGACGCUCAGACACGAAAGCUAGGGUAGCGAACGGGAUUAGAGACCCCGGUAGUCCUAGCAGUAAACGAUGUAGACUUGGUGUCGGAGGUGUCAAAACCUUCGGUAUCGUAGCUAACGCGAUAAGUCUACCGCC
rnacentral:rRNA from 1 species